rnacentral:rRNA from 1 species
AUGUACAUGAUUUUUGCUACUGCUGGCCUUGAAUUGGCACUGAUUUGGGCCACCUUGUUGAAUGAUUCGUGCACUGAUGUGUUUCGUUGGUCUUUUGCGGCAUGUGGGGAGCGUAAACUGGAAGAACGUGUGCAGCAGGCAUCGCUGCUGCGCUGGACGACGUUGUGCGAGGCCAUGGCCAUGGACGAUUUUCGUAGUUGUCACUCCCAUGUAUCUCUUCGACGAGGAGACGUGGACACGAGGCCUAACUAUCCGCAUGAUUUCUUGCUUCUUCUCAUCUUGUUGACUACUGGUUGUGUUUGUUCUCUCGCCAAAGGCCGGGACUUUGAGUUGCCUGCCAUGGUGGAGCUCGGGAUGUUGGCAGAUCUGACCGGACUGGUGAGCACUCUGCCCACACCUGCCGAGGUCGCCCUGCUCUGUGCCAUGCUCGCUGAUGAAGCUUUGAGAGAUGAAAAUUGGUUGCCUUCGGAAAAUAAGAAGAAGGAAAGAACGUUGGAAUAUGAGACUCCAUAUAUGUGUGUAUGUUUAUUUUUGCUUGAAUCUGGUGCUGAAGGUGUGAACAGCAAUUUGCAACGUCGUGGCAAGGUUCAGUUCGGCAAGGAGACCAAUGAGGCAGCUACUUGUACAAUGUCCAAGCCGAUUGUACUCUGGCCUGUCAAACAAGAAGACUCGAUGCAACUAGCUACUGAAAAGGAGAUGAAUGUGGUCAUGUUGACAACCAAGACAAAGAAGCAGGAGACCAAGCCUUCUGCGUUCCCCAUUGGCAUGCACAAGGAGUUCCGCAAGAUGGACAAUGUUGUCCAGAAUUAG